rnacentral:antisense_RNA from 1 species
CUUGGCAUUCGGCUUGCGGGCGAUAAUGCCGUUGCCGACCGCGUGCAACAGGUGCGUUUUACCGAGGCCGGUGCCGCCAUA